GAUGAACGCUAGCGGCAGGCCUAAUACAUGCAAGUCGAACGGGAUCUGAGGGUAGCUUGCUACCCGAUUUGAGAGUGGCGCACGGGUGCGUAACGCGUGAGCAACCUACCCAUAUCAGGGGGAUAGCCCGAAGAAAUUCGGAUUAACACCGCAUAAUAAUACGCUAACACAUGUUAAUGUAUUUAAAUAUUUAUAGGAUAUGGAUGGGCUCGCGUGACAUUAGCUAGUUGGUAAGGUAACGGCUUACCAAGGCGACGAUGUCUAGGGGCUCUGAGAGGAGAAUCCCACACACUGGUACUGAGACACGGACCAGACUCCUACGGGAGGCAGCAGUAAGGAAUAUUGGUCAAUGGGCGCGAGCCUGAACCAGCCAUGCCGCGUGCAGGAUGACUGCCCUAUGGGUUGUAAACUGCUUUUGUUAGGGAAUAAACCUACUUAUGUAUAAGUAGCUGAAUGUACCUAAAGAAUAAGGAUCGGCUAACUCCGUGCCAGCAGCCGCAGUAA
rnacentral:rRNA from 1 species